GCACAAGCGGCGGAGCAUGUGGAUUAAUUCGAUGCAACGCGAAGAACCUUACCUGGGCUUGACAUACACCGGACCGGGCCAGAGAUGGUCCUUCCCUUGUGGCCGGUGUACAGGUGGUGCAUGGUUGUCGUCAGCUCGUGUCGUGAGAUGUUGGGUUAAGUCCCGCAACGAGCGCAACCCUUGUCUUAUGUUGCCAGCACGUGAUGGUGGGGACUCAUGAGAGACUGCCGGGGUCAACUCGGAGGAAGGUGGGGAUGACGUCAAAUCAUCAUGCCCCUUAUGUCCAGGGCUUCACACAUGCUACAAUGGUCGGUACAGCAGGUCGCGAACCCGUGAGGGUGAGCCAAUCCUCGUUAAAGCCGGCCUCAGUUCGGAUUGGGGUCUGCAACUCGACCCCAUGAAGUCGGAGUCGCUAGUAAU
rnacentral:rRNA from 1 species